rnacentral:misc_RNA from 1 species
UGGUUCUGGCAUCGAUGAAGAACGCAGCGAAAUGCGAUAAGUAAUGUGAAUUGCAGAAUUCAGUGAAUCAUCGAAUCUUUGAACGCACAUUGCGCCCCUUGGCAUUCCGAGGGGCAUACCUGUUCGAGCGUCAUUGCACCCUCAGGCCUCCGGCUUGGUGUUGAGCCGCGCGUCCCUCGGGACGGGCUCGAACGGCAGUGGCGGUCCGGCGCGCCUGCAAGUGCAGUAGGCAUCUCGUUCGCUUGAACGGCGCGCCCGGGUCCGGCCAGACAACCCCCCUCGCGACCAAACCGUUUGACCUCGGAUCAGGUAGGGAUACCCGCUGA